GUGGGGAAUUUUGGACAAUGGGGGCAACCCUGAUCCAGCCAUGCCGCGUGCGGGAAGAAGGCCUUCGGGUUGUAAACCGCUUUUGUCAGGGAAGAAAUCCUUUGGGUUAAUACCUCGGAGGGAUGACGGUACCUGAAGAAUAAGCACCGGCUAACUACGUGCCAGCAGCCGCGGUAAUACGUAGGGUGCGAGCGUUAAUCGGAAUUACUGGGCGUAAAGCGUGCGCAGGCGGUUUUGUAAGAUCGAUGUGAAAUCCCCGGGCUCAACCUGGGAACUGCAUUGGUGACUGCAAGGCAGGAGUGCGGCAGAGGGGGAUGGAAUUCCGCGUGUAGCAGUGAAAUGCGUAGAUAUGCGGAGGAACACCGAUGGCGAAGGCAAUCCCCUGGGCCUGCACUGACGCUCAUGCACGAAAGCGUGGGGAGCAAACAGGAUUAGAUACCCUGGUAGUCC
rnacentral:rRNA from 1 species